rnacentral:rRNA from 1 species
GAGGGUUUGAUCCUGGCUCAGGAUGAACGCUGGCGGCGUGCCUAAUACAUGCAAGUCGAGCGAACGGACGAGAAGCUUGCUUCUCUGAUGUUAGCGGCGGACGGGUGAGUAACACGUGGAUAACCUACCUAUAAGACUGGGAUAACUUCGGGAAACCGGAGCUAAUACCGGAUAAUAUUUUGAACCGCAUGGUUCAAAAGUGAAAGACGGUCUUGCUGUCACUUAUAGAUGGAUCCGCGCUGCAUUAGCUAGUUGGUAAGGUAACGGCUUACCAAGGCAACGAUGCAUAGCCGACCUGAGAGGGUGAUCGGCCACACUGGAACUGAGACACGGUCCAGACUCCUACGGGAGGCAGCAGUAGGGAAUCUUCCGCAAUGGGCGAAAGCCUGACGGAGCAACGCCGCGUGAGUGAUGAAGGUCUUCGGAUCGUAAAACUCUGUUAUUAGGGAAGAACAUAUGUGUAAGUAACUGUGCACAUCUUGACGGUACCUAA